UCUUGGGCUGCUACUUCUGUACUCUGUAUCUAUGAAUAGUGAUAGUACUGCUUGGUGUUUCCAUCACUGACUUCUGGGGGGCUUCCCAGGGGAGUUGUUCGUCCGGUUCCUGCUUGGACCAGUCCAGAAGUCUGCUGUCCUACAGGUCUUUCUUCAGUGGCUCAAAUUCGUACAUCUAACAGAACCACUUCUGGAGUUUUGACCUUCCCUUUCUGCUCUCAGUCUUCUGGUUUUCUCUCCUGGGAAACCUGGGAAAAGAUUUCACUCCCUCCCCGGAUUCAGCAUACUUAGCUCAUGGAGAGGACUUCGGCCGUGUUUCCCUGAGGUUGCUUUCAAAGCCCGACCUGUUGCUCCGUCGAUGACCCGGUCCAGGCUGAAGGCUUGCUGUGGGAUUGAUGCUCCCUGGAUGACCGGGGUCCAGGCUGAAGGCUUGCUGUGGGAUUGAUGCUCCCUGGAUGACCGGGUCCAGGCUGAAGGCUUGCUGUGGGAUUGAUGCUCCCUGGAUGACCGGGUCCAGGCUGAAGGCUUGCUGUGGGAUUGAUGCUCCCUGGAUGACCGGGGUCCAGGCUGAAGGCUUGCUGUGGGAUUGAUGCUCCCUGGAUGACCGGGUCCAGGCUGAAGGCUUGCUGUGGGAUUGAUGCUCCCUGGAUGACCGGGUCCAGGCUGAAGGCUUGCUGUGGGAUUGAGUCAUGUGUUUUACUUGUCUUGUUUGUGUGCUGGUUUUUAAAGCACAGAUGUGUUUAGCACCAUCCCGUGGGGAGACAUGCGAGGUUAUAGUGCUCUAUUUCCAGGCACAGAAGCUCACGCCUUGUGGAAAAACGGAGACUCCUCAUUCUGAGCCACUGCAUCCUGUGAAUGGGCUCAGCAGCCAGGAGGACCCAAGGAACUAAAGCGCCCUGGAUCCUGGAGCGAUUUCUCAGGACCAUGAGCUCCACAGGUCCCACGAAGGAAAAACCUUCAGGAAAUCAAGGGAAACUACCAGGAUGGGCCACUUCCGUUGAGGAAGGGUAAAUUUGUACCGGUGCGGGUGGGUUGUGCAGGAGAGAGAACCGGGAAAUGCAGAGUUCUGUGUAAGACAGUGAGACUAUAAAGCUCUCCAAGGAAUCACGAAAGGAAGGGAAUGAAAGGAUGGGGACAGAGGACACAGAGAGGUCAGUGGAAGAAAGCGACAGGGGUGACAGAGACUCUGACAUUCAGAUCUAGCAAGGCUGAGCCCGAGGAGAAGAGGUGACCAGAGAGAUGCUCCCUGGUAGAUGGGCAGCCACCACCUGUCACACGCUGUGUGACUCCAGGGAGAGAGGCAGCGCCUUGUUCACAGUCACUUUCACAGCUUCUCAGCAGCUGAUGAUAAAGAUCCCCAGGAAGGUGUGCUCUUCUCUGGGUGCCAUGGGGUCCUCAGUGGACCAGCAGGGCUGUGUGGGCCAGGGCGAUUUUAGCAGUAGCCACUCACCUUCCCACCACUUCCGGUGGUGGAGCCCCACCCCGCAAGCCCAAGGCCCUCACCCCCAGAAGUCGCCUACUCCCCGGGAUCUCCUGGUGGAGGCGGGGCUCUGGCACACUUGGAAACGGUCACCUUGGUACCCACAGAGUUGUAAGAGAGCAGGGUGCAGCUCGGGGAAGACUCAGCAAGCAGUCAAGCAUGCAGUCAAGGCCCUCAGUCCAGAGAAUCCUAAAUACCCAGGGAGCCCCUGGGCAUCUCAGGGGCUGGAGGAAGCACUGGGGAUCUCAUACUGUGUGGAAUGGUGUUCCUGGAGGUGUCACUUACAUUUCUCAGGACAGGGCAACUCCAGCGGGCCGGAGAACUCAGAGCCUAUAAAAGCCAACAUCCAUACUCCGAGUGUGUACUGGGUGCAACUUCCAAUAACAUCUGUCACCCACAGGUACUGCGGGGCUGGGAGCGCUCCCCCAAUGCCCUGUGUGUGCACAGGCGCACCCGGCUCGCAGCCCUGCGGGCACCACUGCAGGUUUGGAAAAGCACGUUAUGAAGGGCGGAUCACACCCACAUUUAUUUUUUAGGAGUAUUUCUACUGAUGAAUUAUUAAUUUUACCUUUUAUGAGUUUUAUGGUAUUAAACAAUGUGUACUUGAGAGAAAAGCAAAAUGUCAGCGGCACAAGAUGCCCCAUUUUUAUAUGUAAUGAGUGCUAAGAACACACAGCAACAUCUCCAACACCACCUGCUUUCCUGCUCACAAGACCUGAAAAAUAACAGCGGAAGCAAAUCUGUGUGAACCACAGCGAAGAUGCCAGUGCGCUCUGGCACAGAAACAGUCGUGCCUCGACCGUCACCCCUGAGGCAGCCUCCACAGUGCCAAGGACGCCGUCCUGCACAGGUCUCCUUGCGCUGCCCGCACGUGCCUUGUUUCCCUGUCCUCCUUGGGGACACUCCCGACCUCCUGAGGCCUUCCCGUUCUCUGAGGGGUCCUGGUGGUGCUGCCCCCGGCUGCCCACGCUCGGCUCCAGCUCUGGAGCUCUUUACAGAGCUCUUUGGGGAGAGGCAUACCGUUCCUCCUCCUUCCCCAAUUCCAGCCACCAAGUAAGAAAAUUUCUCCGUGAUGUUUUCUGCUUGUUAUUUUCUUUGUAAACUGUGAAACAAUUUAUGCCUGACACGCUUGGGAUGAAUAAAACACAACCAAAGCCAG